GAGGGUUAAAAGUGAGAAAGUGCAUUGCUCUGGCAAAAAUCAGGGUUUUCUGCUUGCUGUACCGGUACAGCCAUCACCUUGUACCGGUACAGCAUGGGCAGAUUCGUGGCAGCAGGGCUAAAUUGGUCAUUUCACAUCUUGAGCCUAUCUAUUUGAGCCCAGCACGUCUCUGGGAGCUUGCUGGAGUGUGCUAGAGCUCAGAAAAGGGUUUCUUCACCUUCUCCUCUUUCUCUCUCUAGGGUUUUUCUCUCUCUACAUAGAAUUCGACGAUUUCACUCAUUUUCGUCGCAACGUUGGUUCUUCGCUGUUCGCAAGUGUCGCAGAGCCUACGUGGACAUGUGAGGGAGUAUUUUGGAGAGCUUUUCGCAACUCUGGACCAGUAGUUCACUGGUUGGAAGCCUGAGGAGGUAAUCGACUUGAUUUUUUUCCAUUAUCAACGUUCUAUUAGUCGAUUUGAGUAUUGAUUUUGGUUUUGCUUCCCACUGAUGUAAACUGAGACUUCAGCUAUUAAAUAUGAGUUAAUUAGCUGUGAAUUAACCUUCUUAGCCCAGGGAUAAGCCACUUUGAAGCUUAAUUGGAAUAAUUAGCCAUUUAUGAAGCUAAUUUGGAAUUAAACGCGAGUUAUUACCACAACUUGAUACAGUUUGAGCUUUUCUCUUCGCAGCAGGUUUGCGAAUCAUAUUAAGCUAUUUUGGUGACCUGGGAGGCUGGUUUAGAAGGUGUUCUAACCUGAGGUAAGCAAGAAUUUCAGUUAGGAAGCUGAAAUUGCAAGAAUUCGACUAUGAUAGCUUAUAAUCGACUAUAUUGAUGCCGUUUCGAUAUUGUUCGCAGCGAGAGGGUAAUGGACCCUUGGACCGCCUUCGACUGACAUUGGAGGACCUUUUGGAAGCUUAACUUGAGGUAUUACACUAGCCCAAAAUAGGGAUUUAGGGGGUUACUUUGUACUAAGUGCAAAUUAGGCCGAAAUCGGAUAUUUCGGUCGUCAUUUUGACGCGGUGUUAAUGUUUGUGUUCAGCAGGAUUGGAGCCUUGUUGAGCUGACUGUUGGGACUUCUUGUGAGGAUUGGAGCCUAGUACUAGGUGGGUCAGACCUAACCAGAGCAAGUGGAGCUCCCCUAUGUUCUAUAUGUACUAUAGAAUUGGUGUUGUUGUGAGCUUUUGUGUUUGAUAUAGGACUUGAGAAGUAACAUUGAAUUGAAAUCUCUAUAAAGUAGAGAACACAUAUACAUGAAAGUAUUUAUAUUUAUAUUCAAUUCAGUUGAAUGACUUAUGAACAAGUGUAGGAUGCACUUAUAAAGUAGAGAACAAUGACAUUCUCUUGACUCUAAAGUAGAGAACUAUAACAUGCUUAUGAUUAUAUUGAUAGUGCCAUAAUAGUGGAAAGAUUAUAAUGCCAUGUGAUUUAGCAUUACUCUUACAUGUUUACAAUCUAGUGGAUACUAGUUACUAUUCGUAUAUUGAAAUUCCGAUCAAAGGAUCGAGGGUAAGAACAUUACAAAUGAAAACAUGAUAAUUGAGACCUGUGGACUGUGAAAUAUGCUUGCUUGCCAUCGUGCUCAUUCGCACACGCUUGUGAGGGUCGCUCCCUACAAGCCGGCACUCCGGAGUUGGCCUACGCGACAGUUGCUCGCUUGUGCGGGAUUCGGUGUCGAAGUGGAUUGCCGUGGGGAGUGUAUACUACCACGGGGCCAUUAGGCGCGGCGCAAGCUGGACUACCUUGGGUAGGUCCCUGUAAAUGAAAAAGAAAGUGCUAAAGGACAUUGGAUAGUAAUGAAUGAUCACCAGUCAUUGUGUAUAGUUUCUGCUUACACAUUCAUAUUUAUGUUCAUACUUACAGUAGCUGCUAUGCUUUAUUGUUCAAUUCAUUACUGUAGAAAGCUAUUACAUGUUGUUUACAUGCUUAUUAAUUGCUUCGCAUUGGAAAGGUAUCCUGCAAUUACAUGCUCAUUACUUGUUAGCAUCAUGCAAUUAUUGCUUUUACUUUCCAUUUAGUACAUCAUGAGCCUAGUGGUGUAAUUCGCCGAGGCUGGCGGCUUACCCACUGGGAACUAUUGUUAAUAGUUCUCACGCCCUUUUUAUGGUUGUUUUUACAGAGCCAUCUACAGGAGAGGCUAGGGAUCGUGGCAAGGGAGUCGCGUCUAGCUAGUCUUUGCUAGGAGCGUUCUAGUCGAUCACCUUGCUACUCGGGCUACGGCCGAGGGUGAUGUCCAUUGUAUAGAGUGACUACCAUUGUACAGAUGUUUUUGUGUACCCUGUGUUGUAUAUGAGUUGUAGAUCCAGAUGUUAUAGUUCAUACUUCUUCUCCUUCUACUGGGAUUUUGGAUUGUAUACUCUUUGUUCUUUUACUGAUAAUAUAUCGACUUGUACAUUACUCUGAUAUCAGGAUAGGACUCUCUUUGUUUUACUUCCUAUCGACUUGCUUUCUUCGUAGACGCCUUAUAUACUGCAGGUGUAUGGCGGGUCUGUGCACGUACCGGAUAUGCUUCCGCUGGUACCCGAGCGUGACAGAUUAUAGUGGUAUCAGAGCCUAGGGUUGAGUCUUAGUAGACUUAGCAAACCUUAGGUUGGUUGGACUAUAAGAUUAGGCUCGUGAGAGACGAGGUCUAGUUGACGUUGUGGUUAGCGAAAGUAUUUUGAUUGGGUAAUUUAUAAACUCCGAAUGGUAGGAGUUUGAUCGGAAUGUGCAAUUACUAACUUUACAGAGGGCCACGUUGGCGGCCGACAACGUGACAUCGGAAGUUAGUACGCGUUACAUUUCAUUACUUACGCUUAAUUAGUUGGUUUAUAUCCGCAAUAAGGAUUCAAUAGUAUAGGUUUUAUUGACCUAUGUUUGUUCCUGUGCUGCAGCUUAUGAUGCCUACGACUCGUUCUGGGACCGCCGCGGCGGCUGAGGCGGCCGCUGCGGAAGAAGUAGAGACUUCCGUCACUUCGGGGUCCAGUGAGGUCAGGGAGUUACAAGAACAGCUCGCAGUGUUGACUCAGCUAGUGACACAGCAGGCAUCGGCAGCGCGACAGCAGAUGGACGCUGCUCGUCGAUAGGAGGAUAGGAUGAAGAGGUUAGAGGUCUGUUACUGUGGCAGACGGCCGACAGAGAGAUUCUAGAUUCUAUACCUACAACGCCAGAGAGGGACACGACUGCGAGAGCACAGUCAUCUGUACCAGCUACACCCCCAGUAGCCCUGAGGGUAGAGCCCCGACAGGAGACAGUAGUGCCACCAGCAGCACCAGUGCCUGCAGCAGGGACAGUGUUACCUGAGAUGGUGGGGGUUGAGGAGCGAGAGCGGAUGAUGGAGCGACUAAAUGAAUUCCGUCGCUGCAACCCUCGUAUCUUUGAUGGGGAAAAAGCCGAUCAUUGGGUGGUUGAAAAAUAGUUAAUGCAUAUGGAGAAGCUAUUCUAUGAUACCUUUGUUGAGGAGCGGUACCGAGUCUGGUUUGCGACACACCACCUUGAUGGCGAGGCUUACAGAUGGUGGGUGGAUAUCCGUGAGGAUCCCCGCGCUGAUUUGUCGGCUAUCACCUGGACGCGGUUCAAGGAAUUACUGUUGACUACCUAUUUUCCUCAGAGUGUAAAGAGACAAAUGGAAAGGGAUUUGAGAAACCUGAGACAAGGGGACAGGACAGUGGCUGAGUACAAGCGAGAGUUCUCACGAUUACUGCACUGUGUUCCUUUUGUGGUUAGAGAUGAUGAGGACAAGGCUCGUAUCUUUGAGGUGGGUUUGCGGCCUGCGAUUUUCAGAUUAGUCCAGGCGUCAAACCUCUCGACUUACAGAGAUGUGGUGAACCGGGCCUUGAUUGUUGAGAAAGGGGCAGAAAUCAUGAAGGAAAGAGACGUUGGGGAUCGAAGCAAAGGAAAGAGACCUGCAGUUGAGAGCAGUGGUCAGCAGUCCUUUAGGAGACCACCAAAGUAUCCGAGGGGACAGUCAGGACAGUCGAGGGGUCAAGGUUCUUCAGCACCCCGUGGAGCACCCGAGCGUCGUCGACCGCUGCGUUGUGUUAUCUGUGGUGGGCUUCACGUACCGCCACAGUGUCCACAACGUGGGGGCAGGUGUUUUCUCUGUGGUCAGGAGGGCCACUUUCGCUCAGAGUGCCCGAGAGGGUCUUUGCCUGCACCCUCGUCAGCUUCUGCACCUGCAUCUUCAGCUCCGAGCCAGGGGAACCCGACAGCACCCUAUCAGUCUAGGCGACCACCAGGGCAGCGGCAGUCGGAGAGUUCGCAGCAGGGUUCGAGUGGGCGGAUGUAUGCCGCCCAGACUGAGGGCGCCGCAGUAGCACAGGAGGUCGUAGCAGGUAUUAUUUUGAUUCAUGAUAUUCGUGUUCGUGCAUUAUUUGAUACUGGUGCAUCACAUUCCUUUAUUGAUCGGCUAUUUGCCGAGUUGCAUAGCAUACAGUUAGUACCUUCCUUGCAUCCGGGACGAGUGAUCGUGCCCGACCAUACCCUGGAUAUUUGUGAGUAUUGCCCUCGCUGCCCAGUUAGGGUAGGCGACUGGAUUAUGCCAGUGGAUUUAUUAGCACUACACAAACUAGGUGAGUUUGAUGUAGUAUUGGGUAUGGAUUGGUUGACACAGUACUAUGCCACUAUUGAUUGCACGAACAGAACGGUGACCUUUAGGGAACCGGGUCAGCAAGAGUUUGUUUAUAAGGGGUGUCAGAGUUCAUUGUUCGCAAUGACUAUUAGCUCUUCGCGAGCCCGACAGUUGAUACGGAGAGGUUGUGUAGCCUAUUUGGCUAGCAUUUUGUGAGUGACGGAGAAGCCGUCAAGAUUGAUGAUAUCCCGGUUGUGCGAGAAUUCGGGGAUGUGUUUCCAGCUGAAUUGCCGGGCAUGCCACCUAAUAGGGAAGUUGAGUUUGUGAUUGAUCUUGUUCCUGAAACUACCCCUAUUUCUCAAGCGCCUUAUAGGAUGGCACCCGCUGAAUUGAAAGAGCUGAAGGCACAGUUACAAGAUCUGUUAGAUAAAGGAUUCAUUCGACCUAGUGUAUCGCCCUGGGGAGCACCGGUGUUAUUUGUCAAGAAAAAGGAUGGAUCUCUUCGAUUGUGCGUGGAUUAUCGAGAAAUCAACAAAGUCACAAUCAAGAAUAAAUAUCCAUUGCCCAGAAUUGAUGACUUAUUCGAUCAGCUGCAAGGAUCGAAAGUAUACUCCAAGAUUGAUUUGCAAUCUGGGUAUCAUCAGCUUAAGAUCAAGCCUGAAGACGUCUCUAAGACCGCCUUUAGGACACGGUAUGGACAUUAUGAAUUUACAGUCAUGCCAUUUGGAUUAACAAAUGCCCCAGCAGCCUUUAUGGAUUUAAUGAACCGUGUCUUUAAACCCUAUCAGGACAGGUUUGUGGUCGUGUUCAUCGAUGAUAUCUUGAUCUAUUCGCGAAGUGACAAGGAGCAUGAAAUCCAUCUAAGAGUGGUGUUGCAAGUACUUCGAGAGGAGAAACUGUUUGCAAAGUUAAAGAAAUGCGAAUUUUGGCUUCAAGAAGUGGGAUUUCUGGGCCAUAUGAUUUCUGAAAUUGGGAUAGCUGUGGAUCCCAAGAAGAUUGAAGCGAUUAAAGAUUGGCCUAGGCCGACCAGUGUCACAGAAAUUCGGAGUUUUCUUAGUUUUGCGGGAUACUACCGAAGAUUUGUAGAAGGAUUUGCGAAGAUGUCUACUCCUCUCACUCGACUCACACAUAAAGGAGCUAAGUUUCUGUGGAAUGAAGCCUGUGAAAGAAGCUUUCAAGAGUUGAAAGAACGGUUAACUACUGCCCCGAUCUUAGCACUGCCUGUUACUGGGGUAGAUUAUGUGAUUUACAGUGAUGCGUCGCUGAAUGGAUUAGGGUGUGUUCUAAUGCAGAGUGGCAGAGUAAUUGCCUAUGCCUCUCGCCAAUUGAAAGAUUAUGAAAAGAACUACCCUACACAUGAUCUUGAGUUAGCAGCUGUGGUAUUUGCUUUAAAGCUUUGGCGCCACUACCUCUACGGCGAGCGUUGCGAAGUUUAUACAGAUCAUAAAAGCUUAAAGUAUCUAUUUACACAGAAGGAAUUAAACUUGAGGCAACGUAGAUGGUUGGAGUUACUCAAGGAUUAUGAUUUGACCAUCCUCUAUCAUCCUGGAAAAGCUAAUGUCGUAGCAGAUGCUUUAAGUCGAAAAUCGACGGAAAAUUUGGCGAUGUCGAUAACUAUGCAACCACUGCUGGUCAAACAAAUGGAGCAGUUGAAUUUGGAAGUUGUAGCUCCCGAGACGCCUUGGAGACUUAUGUCAUUAGUGGUGCAGCCUACCCUGAUCGAUCGAAUUAAAGAAAAGCAAGCUCAAGACGAAUCUCUGCAAAAGAUUCGAGAUAAAAUCACUAUUGAUUAUGUUGGUGAUUUUCGAGUGGAUGAUCAGCGACUGUUGAAAUUCGGGGAUAGACUUUGUGUACCGGCAGAUUCUGGUAUUAAAGAAAAGAUUCUAACAGAAGCACAUCGGGCGCCGUAUACUGUACACCCUGGGAGUACGAAAAUGUAUAAAGAUCUGAAGUUAACUUACUGGUGGCCUGGAAUGAAAAAGGAAGUUGCUUACUUCGUGGCUAAAUGCUUAACCUGUCAGCAGAUUAAGGCUGAACAUCGACUUCCUGCAGGAAAACUACAGAGUUUACCCAUACCAGUGUGGAAGUGGAAGAGGAUCACUAUGGAUUUCAUCGUUGGAUUACCUCGCUCACAAGUAGGUCACGAUGCCAUUUGGGUAAUUGUGGAUAGAUUGACCAAAUCUGCCCACUUUAUCCCAAUUCAUACAGUUUGGUCGAGGGAGAGACUCGCACAACUGUACCUAGAUGAAAUUGUGCGAUUACAUGGUGUACCAGCUUCUAUUGUUUCAGAUCGAGACACCCGAUUCGUUUCACAUUUCUGGAGGAGUUUACAGGAAGCUUUGGGCACCUGAUUAGAUUUUAGUACUGCUUUCCACCCCCAGAGUGACGGGCAGUCUGAGCGUACCAUCCAGACCCUUGAGGAUAUGUUGCGGGCCUGUGUGAUUGAUUACCAGGGCAGUUGGCCACAGUUCUUGCCUAUGGCUGAAUUUGCUUAUAACAAUAGUUAUCAAGCAAGUAUUCAGAUGUCACCUUUUGAAGCCCUUUAUGGUAGAAAGUGCAGAUCACCACUUCAUUGGAGUGAAGUGGGUGAGAGAUUGGUUUUGGGUCCCGAUGUAUUACAAGAGGCUGAAGCUAAAGUUCGACUUGCGCGAGAACGUCUACUGACAGCCCAAAGUCGACAAAAGAGUUAUGCGGACAAACGUCGGCGAGAAUUGGAAUUUCAAGUUGGCGAUCAUGUAUUUCUGAAGGUUUCACCGACGAAAGGAGUUAAAAGAUUUGGUAUUCGAGGAAAGUUGAGUCCUCGAUUUAUUGGACCCUACGAGGUGUUGGAGCGGAUAGGCCCCGUAGCGUAUUGGCUUGCUUUGCCGCCGAACCUGUCAGGAGUGCAUAAUGUAUUUCAUGUAUCUACACUGCGGAAGUAUGUCUUUGAUCCGACCCACAUAUUGGACAGUACUCCAGUGGAUUUACGAAAGGAUUUGAGCUUUGAGGAGCAUCCAGUGAGAAUCCUAGCUCGGGAAGUGAAACGGCUUCGAAACGGCGAGAUCCCCUACGUAAAGAUCCUUUGGAGCAAUCAUGAUGAACGGGAAGCCACUUGGGAACUGGAGAGUGCGAUGUUAGAGCACUAUCCCUACCUUUUCUCAAUGGAAUCCUGACGUAAGUAAUGACAAGUUUCGCGGACGAAACUUCUUUUUAGGAGGGGUGAAUGUAAUACACUGAACUCUUGCAAAUUGCGGAGUUCGAGUGUGCGGGAUGAAGUGUGGAUCUAUCCUACAUGUUCUAAAUGACUUCGACAAGUUUUUUGAUCAAGUUAGAGAGUGAUUGGAGGGUUAAAUGUGAGAAAGUGCAUUGCUCUGGCAAAAAUCAGGGUUUUCUGCUUGCUGUAACGGUACAGCCAUCACCUUGUACCGGUACAGCAUGGGCAGAUUCGUGGCAGCAGGGCUAAAUUGGUCAUUUCACAUCUUGAGCCUAUCUAUUUGAACCCAGCACGUCUCUGGGAGCUUGCUGGAGUGUGCUAGAGCUCAGAAAAGGGUUUCUUCACCUUCUCCUCUUUCUCUCUCUAGGGUUUUUCUCUCUCUACAUAGAAUUCGACGAUUUCGCUCGUUUUCGUCGCAAUGUUGGUUCUUCGCUGUUCGCAAGUGUCGCGGAGCCUACGUGGACG
rnacentral:lncRNA from 1 species